GGGCCCGCACAAGCAGUGGAGUAUGUGGUUUAAUUCGAAGCAACGCGAAGAACCUUACCAGGGCUUGACAUCCCGCGAAUACCGUGGAGACACGGGAAGCCUUUCGGGGCGCGGAGACAGGUGGUGCAUGGUUGUCGUCAGCUCGUGUCGUGAGAUGUUGGGUUAAGUCCCGCAACGAGCGCAACCCCUGUCGUCAGUUGCCAUCAUUCAGUUGGGGACUCUGACGAUACUGCCGGUGACAAAUCGGAGGAAGGUGGGGAUGAGGUCAAAUCAUCAUGCCCCUUAUGUCCUGGGCUACACACGUACUACAAUGGCUAUCAACAGAGGGAGCUAAGGAGCGAUCCGGAGCGAAUCCCGAAACAUAGCCUCAGUUCGGAUUGUGGGCUGAAACCCGCCGCAUGAAGUCGGAAUUGCUAGUAAUGGCAGGUCAGCAUACUG
rnacentral:rRNA from 1 species